GGGAAAGUACUGCGAAGGGGAGAGGGGUAGAUCCUGGCUGUGACAGCUUCAACUCUAUCACACCCAGACUUGGCCUCUCAUGGCCUCCUGGAAGGGGAGUUUCUCUGAAGUCCUCCACGAAGUUUCCACCUGACAGUAACCAAAGCAUCAUGGCUCCCACGAUGCUAUUCCAACUACCCAGCUCUUCUCCGAGAUUGGACUACAAGAUUCUGCAUCUCAGUAGACCACCAGCAAGGAAGUAAGAGGCUUGGUGAGAAGAGUGUGGAAGAAACAUGGAGAGAAGAGAGGAAACACCACAGAAGCUCCCACUAGGCUGAGC
rnacentral:lncRNA from 1 species